rnacentral:rRNA from 1 species
AAUUGACCUCGGAUCAGGUAGGGAUACCCGCUGAACUUAAGCAUAUCAAUAAGCGGAGGAAAAGAAACCAACAGGGAUUGCCUCAGUAACGGCGAGUGAAGCGGCAACAGCUCAAAUUUGAAAUCUGACCCCGUCGGGGUUCGAGUUGUAAUUUGUAGAGGAUGUUUCGGGCGCGAAGCCGGUCUAAGUCCCUUGGAACGGGGCGUCGGAGAGGGUGAGAAUCCCGUAUGUGACCGGCGAUCAAGCCUCUGUGAAACUCCUUCGACGAGUCGAGUUGUUUGGGAAUGCAGCUCAAAAUGGGUGGUAAAUUUCAUCUAAAGCUAAAUAUUGGCCAGAGACCGAUAGCGCACAAGUAGAGUGAUCGAAAGAUGAAAAGCACUUUGGAAAGAGAGUCAAAAAGUACGUGAAAUUGUUGAAAGGGAAGCGCUUGCAACCAGACCUGCCCGCGGGCGAUCAGCCGUCCCUUUCGGGGGCGGUGCACGCGCCCGCGAACAGGCCAGCAUCGGUUCGGGCGGCCGGAUAAAGGCCCGGGGAACGUAGCUCCUCUCGGGGAGUGUUAUAGCCCCGGGUGCAAUGCGGCCCGCCUGGACCGAGGACCGCGCUUCGGCUAGGAUGCUGGCGUAAUGGUUGUAAGCGGCCCGUCUUGAAACACGGACCAAGGAGUCUAACAUCCAUGCGAGUGUUUGGGUGUCAAACCCAUGCGCGUAAUGAAAGUGAACGGAGGUAGGAACCCAUGAGGGCGCACUAUCGACCGAUCCUGAUGUCUUCGGAUGGAUUUGAGUACGAGCAUGGCUGUUGGAACCCGAAAGGUAAAUUAAAACUUCCAUCGAAAGGAAGACCGUUCGCUAAUAGUGUUUCUCCAGAUGGUGAACUAUGCCUGAAUAGGGUGAAGCCAGAGGAAACUCUGGUGGAGGCUCGCAGCGGUUCUGACGUGCAAAUCGAUCGUCAAAUUUGGGUAUAGGGGCGAAAGUAAGUUAGCGCAUUUCCCAUUUUGCCAGCCUGGCCGCCCGGAAGGAACGGAGGUCCCUUCGGCAGCGGAGUUUCAGGGGGGUUUAGGCCUCAGACGCCGAACCCCUCGGGGGUGGAAGCUCUUCCGGCACGGAGGGAGGGGGACUAGUGACGGACGAGGGGACUGAAGCUCUCUUUCGGAUGGUUGGCCGGCUGGCGUUUGAUGACUAAUCGACCUCUAGUUAACUGGUUCCAGCCGAAGUUUCUUU